rnacentral:tRNA from 1 species
GCCUUCAUAGCUCAGCGGUAGAGCACUUCAUUGGUAAUGAAGAGGUCACGAGUUCGAUCCUCGUUGAAGGCUCCA